ACACUGCAACAUUGGUAGGCGUUGCCUGGAGGACCGAGAGGGCGGAGCCGCGGCAGUGACGAAGACGAUGGCUAACUAGACGAAGCUAGCUCCCUUCACUCUGAGCAGUCAUUAGAAGUGGAGGACGUUUCUCCCCCUCCUUACCCAGACACUCGAGAAGAAAGGGACCAAGUCUAAUUGGAGGAGACAAGCGGACAUGAGCCUUAUUGUUUUGAGCUUGUGAGUUGCCUGAAAUUACCGGAACCGACCCAACAGAACCAUCUCUGAAUGUGAUCCUCUGGUGUCUGCAGCUGGUCUCUGCUGGUGUCGUCAGGAUCAGGAGCUUCCAGAAGAAUGUGCCUUUCAAUGACUCUUUCCCCCUUAUUUGUUAUAUUAAUUAAAUGAAUCUCAAUUUAUACAUUUCCUGUUUUUGUUCAUGUCCAUAAAUACUUAAACAUGCUUGAAAUUAAAACAAGCUUUUAACAGUGAGGUGCUAGUUUAGUUCAUCACAAUAGAGCUAGAUAAACAUGCGACAAUGUGAUAAUUCAAUUAAUGUAAUUUAUAAAUAUCCAUUAAAAUAUCAAAACUGGAAUCAAAAUCAGACAUUUGGCAGCACAAAAAACUUGUCAAACACAAUAUUUAUUAUAAUAAUUGUAGGCAGACAGGAGACAGAGCUGAUGGAGGUUCUCAGUCAUCGAAGGAUGGCUGAAGGCUUUCCAGGAACAGGAGAUGUGGUGUUGUCUCUUCUCUCUCUAUUCUGCCAGAUGAGCUGAUAGGUUACAGGUGUGUGAGGACAUCCUCAUGCUGUCAUAACCAGAUGACAGGAGUUAUCAGGUGAUCAGCCAGGCUAAUGAUGAGAUGCAGAAAGAAAACAAAUCAUGCAGAAAGAAAACAAAUCCAGGACAGUGUACAGUAAUAAAAAUAAUAUGUGGUGUUGCUCACCUUAUGUGCUCUUAUAGAGUUAUUAACGUGUGCCUGCCUCAUGGUGUAGAGUCCAUAUUUUGCUGAG